UAUAUCUUAUAUUUUGUUUCGUUAGAAAUAUUUCUGUACUUUUUGUACAGAUUUAUCGAUGUAGCAAAUUCUCCUUUCAUAUUUUUAAUAUCCGCCACGCAUCUGCGCGUGUCGUUAAAGAAAUUAAACACAAAGAAGUUCGCCACACACUAUCUCUGAAGGUUUUGUAAAGUAUAUAUGUCAUAUUGGUGAAUAAAUUACGUCGUUUACGUGAUAUUGAACGAGAAGAAAACCUGUUCCGCGCCGCGGCUUCCCGACAUCUCGCUACUUGACCGCUGCACGUUCUCACGGUAAGCCUGGACCAAUGGUGAUCUCCUGCAUGUGUUCUCUCGGCGGAGAAGAAACUAGAUCCCGUAAAGAGGGGCGGCAGGUUCUCGAAAUCUAAAGACCGAAAUUCUACAUCGCAAAUUGCACGCGUGCGGUAACCCGCGAGCUGGUUCCGCGUAUUUCAAGAGACGAAAAUCUAGGUCUGUCGGUCAGUAUCGAGGAUGCUGCGGUCCACGCAGCAUCCCUCCUGCUCAUAAAACAGUUUUUCUCCCGGGCGGGCAACUCUCGAAAUUUACGAUCGUUGAAAUUACGGCGGCGCGCGGCAUCCCUACGGAUCGUAAAACAUCUUUCUGACAUUCGAAGAUUCUCACCGAGGAACCUUGUGGAGACCCGUCGCGCAUUAAAUUCAUCGUCAUCAUCAUCAUCAUCAUCAUCAUCAUGCAGUUUUUCAUCCUGUCAUCCAGGAGCGAUCAUUCGCACAAUUUGGCGACUCCUCCAGUCGGGCUACAAUAUACGAGCUACUAGCUGAAGAGUCUCAUCGAUAAAACAAACAAUUUUCUCGUUUCUACUACAAAUCAUGGCACAACGACUGGAGAACAGAGGAGGCCCGGAUAAUAGCGACGGGAGGAACCGGAAAGCAUAAACCCACGCAAAAGUGGAGGCCACUUCAAGCGUUUUCUGCGGCGGUCGCCGUGCGCGACCCUUCCGAAAAUUAUCCAGAACGACCUCGUAGCCGCCGCGGCCUUACCACUGAAGAAAUAACCGCUGACUCGAAAAAAAAAAAAAAAAAAUGUUUUUGCAACAAUGAAAUGUGGACGGAGCAAAAGUAUACUUUCGCUGGUAAACCGUGAAAAUGGACUUGCAGGAUUAAAUUGCCUUUUUUGUAAAAGAGAACAUACGCGCAUCUUUCGACGACAUUUAUCGGUAGAAUGAGAUGGCAGCGCGUCAUGAUAAAUAAGAUCUAUAAUUCGAGGAUCAGAUAAAAAUAAAUUAAAAAUAGGAUUCGCGGAUCAAGGAUCUAAACUGAUUCACUUCAUACUUUCUGAAGACUGUUUAACAGCAAAAAAACUUUCUACUUGUUUUUAUUUAAAGACAAAAAUCAAAUUUCAACAUAUAGAAAAUACGUAUGAAAUUAAUUAACUUUAAAAAUACACAUAAAAAAAUUGGCAUAAUAAGGCAUGAAACAUGAGGAAUAAAAUACAUGAUUGUAUUAAUAUUUUUUUCACACUUUUAAACUAUUAAAUUUUAGCUAAUCAUGGAAAAAUUUAGAAAAUACUGUUACUGUAAUAAGCAAUUUUCUUUUCACAAUGUGUACGUACAUCAAUAGAAACAUUUAAAGUUUUUUAAUAAAAAAGAUUUUAAUUUUUCCAUGUUUUUCAACGUAUAACUGUAGUAAUGCGACAAAAAUAGUUCUAGUUUAGUUUAGCGCCUUAAUUAUAUUAUUCGAACAUGUUCAGCAAGGGGAAAAAUUUUUGCUGGCGGAGAAACUUUUAACGUAAUUUCCUUACCAGCUUUUAUCUCUCUUACAGUGGGAAAACUUUAAUGAGCGCGACGAGAAUAUGCACUAAAAGAAACUUUCAUUAUCUUAAAAUAAUCGAAUAUACAUACUGUGUAAAAAAAAGAUCACGUUACAAUGCUUAUUUCCGAGUUUUUCAACUUUUAUUUACAUUUACUCUUGUUAUUAGUUUAUUUAUAAGCAUUACUUUUUAGAUAGACUCUUCAAAAGCUACAAAACCUUUUCCCCAUGUUUCUUUAUUAAAUUUUGCUAUUUGCAUUCAGCGCAAGUAUUCUACAUUUAUACAUAAUUGCGAUUUUCGUCCGAUUAAAGUUAAUUAAAAUCUAUAAAAAAAGAUCAAUGAACAAUGAUAAACGAAACGAGUUAUUGAAAAUUCAACUCUAUCGACGCAAUGACAACGAGCCGCGACUACGAUUUAAAAUGAUAAAAAUAAAUUAGGACUGCUCCAUUUUUCGAGAGUGCAGCACGCCAUUAAACAAGUUAUGGUCCUACUACUUAAAGCACUGCCACGCCCCUAUGCAGCGACCUUAACUUCCGGCACUACCUACAUGAAUUCUUUAAAUCCCUUGUUGCCAUCGCCUUCCUUUCCCAACCCUCCGCGUUCGGGGUUGACCAAAAGUUCAAACCCGUUCAAUGGACAAAACUUUUUCCGUUUCGAAACCUCGACUAUGUACAGUCGGUGAAGGAAAACAUAUAAAUCUGUCUUACAGAAGUGCUUGGUAUUCUUGUAUUAAAAGCGUUUGAUUAUUGCAUGCGGGUUUUUGGGAGUAUGCGCAAAUUGAAAAUUAGCUUUUACAUAAUUUCAUCAAGUUGUCAGGACGUACGAACGAAAUUUAUAACGAGACAUAACAUACGAGAGGUAUAUAAUAAACCUCUACGUAAUCCCGGAAUUAAAAUACAUAUAUCACAAAUUAAUAUUAUCGUUUACAUAGCAACUCAAAUUAUUCACUUUAUCGUAAAAUGACUGAAAUCUCCCAUGCGAUGCAAUUUAGUUGCCUGUAUACACACGCUCGCUCGUUUUAAUUUCAAUUAAUCUAAGAAAUAUUUUGAAGCUGUCGAAUGAAGCUAUUCAAGAUCGAAAUAAAUCGACAUGAAUUCUUAAAUAUUCAUUUCGGUAAAUCAUAUCUUCUGAUAAAUCUCAAUUAAAUCGCUAUUUAAAUUUAAUCGUCGUUAAUGCUAAAAUCCAUAUGCUCCAAUGCAAUCUGUGACACACACGUGCCUUGAAAUUCAGGCUAAAAAGUAAUAAAACGACCCGGUUCGUCCAUAUCCCGUAAACGAGCACAUAAAAAAUAAGCUGGGAAGCACGAGCGAUGCGUUAAAAUAUAAGUCUGACUUCUGUGUUAAUCGCGUAUCACGAAAUUCUCUCCGAAUCAACAUGCAUAUAUUCAAAUUAACGCGAGCUGCGUAAGUGAGCGCGCGAAGGACUCGGAGCCUUAAUCUGUUUUAACGGGGGCGUCAGUAAAAAACCGGCAGACGGCAGAGGGCAGAGGGCAGAGGGAGUCGCGCGUUUUUUUUUCCCCAAGACGGGUGGAAGAAACGGCCUCGGGUUCCCAAUUAGCGUUCUUACCCCGUCUCGACGGCCGCGGGGCAAAUGCCGGGCUUCAGGACGGCGACGGGAUGCGAGGCAGCGAGAUAAACCGCGCGAUAAAACGGUACACGCUCGCGUCACACCCCGCCCUUGCGCCCUCGGCUCUGCCGCAUCCUUCUUUUUUUUCCUUUUUACUCAUUCUAGCUUCACGCGCGCGCACACCACCGGAAGGGCGGUAAAGUAGAAACGGCGGAGAGACACGGCCAAGAAGAGUUCAUAUCCCGCGUCGCAUCCCGCUGACUUAGGUGACUCUCAGAGAUUUAACAUGUAAAUAAUACGGUGGACGGGAGUUCAAAUAUUUUGCAAGCUUACACGCGUCGCGAGAGAUCCCGGUAGCGAAAACAUUUGGCUCGUUGAAAGAAACUUGAUUAAAAUCAUAUAUAACUUAUACUUCUCAACUGUUUUUUUUUUUCAGCUAAAUUGUUUCUCCGAAGCGCUUGAUAUCUUGGGGUUCAUCGCGGUACACCCUUUUUUCAUCUACAAAUUUUUUAAGUUACUCAAAGUUUAAUUACUUUGAAAAUGUUAAAGAGAGUAUCAAUAUUUUAACUACAAGUUAGAAAGAACCUAAAGAACUUUAUAAAAAAAACUAAAGUUAUAGACACUUCGGAUUUACGAAAAGAUAAAAGUAUAUUCUUUAUUUCAUCUUCCAGGCAUUAUUUUAACAAACAGAAAUUUUAACAAAAGAAAAAAAAGCUGUGUUAAAGUAGUGAACAAAUUUAUAAUGAACAAAAUAGAAUUCAAGAUUACAAUUUUAUGUAAAAUUCAUGUCAUAAAUACGCAUGUUUAUAUAAUGUUCACAUAAUGUUGCAAAUUCUACUAUUUAUCCAAAAAGUCACAUAAAAUGAAAGAAAAGAAAUAUAAAAACAGAAUACAAAAAUUCUAUCCAAAUCUGUCCAUCUACUGUAAAUUAAAAUCUAUGUUGUUAAAUAUAUUUGAUGUCUUUUUCUUCGCGUGGCAUACGCUUGUCAGCGUGUAGGCGAUCUCUUUUGUAUUAAACUCUCGCGCAUUUACAAAUGUCAAUCAUUCACGUGUUGCUAAUACCAAAUUUUUAAUUUAAACAACAACUUAAUUCGCGCAUCGUUUUUAUUUUUAAUGAUUAUUAUAAUCUACAUGAUACAUUUUAUUUCUACAAAUAAAAUUCAAACAAUUUCAACUGAAAUUAAAUUGAUCUCAACAACUAACAUUAUACAUUGUCUUUAAUUUGUCAUGAUUCGACGAAGCAUGCAUUUAAACGAAAGAUUGCAUUACAAAUAAAAUCAGAAGUAGAGAAAUAUGAUAUUUAACUAACGGACAAAUUCAACUUAUAAAUUAAUAUUUACGAAUAUGUUAGGAUCAAAAUAUCAAUCUCGACUUUUAUUCGCGAAAUUCGUCCGCGAGCUAAUAAACAUUUUCAAUGACACGAUUCAUGCUAUUAUAAAGAAGUAAAACUAUUGUAAUAUAACUGUAACUGAUUAUGGCAAAAUUGUAAUAAAUUAAAUAAGAUCAAAAAGUGUAAUCGUAAUUAACAAUGAACCGGAUUUCAUUCUUCAUCAAAUAAUUAACUCGAUAAUACGUCAAACUACAAAUUUUCUUACGCCACACAAACACGUCUGUGGAUAUUCAAAAUAAAUUCGCGACAUUAAAUUUAAUGAAGAUAUACUUUCAAGGUUGUUAUUUAUAUCUUUCACGAAAUACUUUCAUGAAGCCACUAUUAAAGCGCUUUUUAUUUUACCACCAAAUGUCGCAUUUAACUCACUAAUAAAAAAAUUUCGCCACUACUAUGCAAAACGCGUAAUUUGCAUUUCCGCGGAAGGGCGAAAAUUCGCGAAGACGAAGGGUUGAGAGUCACCGGACGCGGGUAGCUCGCUAUUUUCAGGCCUUUACGAGAAAUUCACGACGGCGAGGUAACGCGAAGAAAUUGUCCCUGGCCUCGGUGUAGUUCGCGAACGUAAUACGGUCAAACACUUUCCCAUCUAAUUCUACCGCAGGCACCAUCUUUUUUCUCACCUUUUCUUUCACGCCGGCGACUGUUAAACACGCGCGGUUGAGAAAACGCACGACAGUUGGCGGCAUGACGACUGCCGCGCGCGCGCGCGCGCGCUAAUUAUUUAAUUAUUUAUUUACCGGCUUCAUUUCAGCGGAUUAUAUCCGGUGUGGCCGUGCAAGUUUCAUUCUUCAUCGCGGCCUAUUAACACAUCGCCACCGCCUAUGCUCCACCUUCGCGGCUCCUGCAGACGACUAAUUGUUUACAAAGCGACUCUCCACUACUCGGUGUUUACGCACUAAUCAGCCCUUGCACAUUUUAAACGAGUUUAAUUUCGUUCCUUUGACUUUAGGGACUGCGUUAUUUACAUUGCGCGAUGAAAUUAUUGUUUGAGAAUUUUUGAUCAUUGCUAACUGCUUUUGUUAAUUACGGAUGUUAUAAAUUUUAAACAAUGUCUGCGGCUAUGUACAAACGAUAUAUUUGAUAGUAUUGCGGAAAAUAAUCAUUAAAAAUUAUAGAUUACAGAGUACAUCCUGACAAAUAUAUGGCAAAAAAAUAUGAAAAUUGUACAAAAAAGAUAAAAUUUUCAAACCGGACAGAACGAAAAUCCGGACUUCUUUGGUCUAACUUUAGUGAAAUACAAUUUUAUCACGCUAAAAAUAAUUAAAACUGUUGAAAUAUAUACACGUUGCUUGAAUUUUAUUUCUGCGAGCAUGAACAAAUGAGAAAUUGCUUCAUCAUAAGCUUCACAGAUAAUCGCAUAUGCAUGUAUAUUAUUUUGAGAUGAUUUUGUUGUAAAUCAAGUUUCGAAACAUGAAUCUUUUAAGUACAAAAUUCGUGUGCUGUAUCGGCUUUAGCGAGACUUUUGUCUUAUAUUUUCAACUAGCUAGAUGAGUGACAACUUGACCAAAUAUCCUCUGUAAAAAAAUAUGCUUGUAGAAGAUAGAAUGAUUAUUGCGUUCAGCAAAUUAAAAUAACCACUGGCAAACAAUUAUCAGCUGAUAUUUAGUUCGACGUGCGGUAUUUUCGAUCGAUUGUAAUUUACUCUAAUAAUAUGGUACCUCUAAUUACGUAAAUUACUUCACACAUGCCUGACUAAUGUAACAAACAUUUAUUUAUUUAUGAAUCAUAAAUUCAUUCUGUACUAUUCGCGCGAAUACAUUUAUCAAAUUCAUAUUUAUCAAAAUAGACGUCAAUGGCAUGAAUCGUUAUCGUCGAGACACUCUAUGUCAAUAUAUUGUCUUAAAUUAUUACUUAAAUUAUUACUCUUUUAAUUUAAUCUGCACCUCAAAGUCAAACUAUCGUAAAAAAUAUUUAUUAUUCAAAAAAAAAUUAAUUUUAAAUUUUUAUUUUUUUGCAUUAUAGAUUUCUUAUUUUUAAGCCUGAAAUGGGACGUCUCUGAUUUUACGCAUUUAUUCAUACAUCGUUUUGAAAAAAUUUACAAAACAGGUAAAUGUUAAAUAUUUAUAUACUUUAUAAUAAAUUUUUUACAAACGUCUUUAAUAAGAAAGAAAAGUGCUAAUUUAUAUUAUCAAAUACGUAUAAAACAUUAUAUUUUUUAUAAAUACAAUACAGUGCACUUCUUGUUGUAAUAAUAAAAGAGAAGCAAAUAUACGAUAGCUUGACUCUGAGGUACAGAACUUAUUUUGGACACGAAUGCGCGCACACUUGUUUCAUAUUGCACGAGCAAUAAAUGUAUCUUUGAAACAAAUAAACAAAUUUCUAUAUGGUCCGGGAA